GAUGAACGCUAGCUACAGGCUUAACACAUGCAAGUCGAGGGGCAUCAGGAAGAAAGCUUGCUUUCUUUGCUGGCGACCGGCGCACGGGUGAGUAACACGUAUCCAACCUGCCCUUUACUCGGGGAUAGCCUUUCGAAAGAAAGAUUAAUACCCGAUAGCAUAAUGAUUCCGCAUGGUUUCAUUAUUAAAGGAUUCCGGUAAAGGAUGGGGAUGCGUUCCAUUAGGUUGUUGGUGAGGUAACGGCCCACCAAGCCUUCGAUGGAUAGGGGUUCUGAGAGGAAGGUCCCCCACAUUGGAACUGAGACACGGUCCAAACUCCUACGGGAGGCAGCAGUGAGGAAUAUUGGUCAAUGGGCGUUAGCCUGAACCAGCCAAGUAGCGUGAAGGAUGAAGGCUCUAUGGGUCGUAAACUUCUUUUAUAUAAGAAUAAAGUGCAGUAUGUAUACUGUUUUGUAUGUAUUAUAUGAAUAAGGAUCGGCUAACUCCGUGCCAGCAGCCGCGGUAAUACGGAGGAUCCGAGCGUUAUCCGGAUUUAUUGGGUUUAAAGGGAGCGUAGGUGGACUGGUAAGUCAGUUGUGAAAGUUUGCGGCUCAACCGUAAAAUUGCAGUUGAUACUGUCAGUCUUGAGUACAGUAGAGGUGGGCGGAAUUCGUGGUGUAGCGGUGAAAUGCUUAGAUAUCACGAAGAACUCCGA
rnacentral:rRNA from 1 species